rnacentral:pre_miRNA from 1 species
AUUCCCUACCCACAACGAGCUUACAGUCUAGCGGGUUAGAGAGAAAGGACUGACUUGCUUUCUUUUCCCUCUCUAGGCUGUAAGCUCAUUGUGGGCAGGGAAU